rnacentral:rRNA from 1 species
GUCGAACGGAAAGGCCCUGCUUUUGUGGGGUGCUCGAGUGGCGAACGGGUGAGUAACACGUGAGUAACCUGCCCUUGACUUUGGGAUAACUUCAGGAAACUGGGGCUAAUACCGGAUAGGAGCUCCUGCUGCAUGGUGGGGGUUGGAAAGUUUCGGCGGUUGGGGAUGGACUCGCGGCUUAUCAGCUUGUUGGUGGGGUAGUGGCUUACCAAGGCUUUGACGGGUAGCCGGCCUGAGAGGGUGACCGGCCACAUUGGGACUGAGAUACGGCCCAGACUCCUACGGGAGGCAGCAGUGGGGAAUAUUGCACAAUGGGCGGAAGCCUGAUGCAGCAACGCCGCGUGCGGGAUGACGGCCUUCGGGUUGUAAACCGCUUUCGCCUGUGACGAAGCGUGAGUGACGGUAAUGGGUAAAGAAGCACCGGCUAACUACGUGCCAGCAGCCGCGGUGAUACGUAGGGUGCGAGCGUUGUCCGGAUUUAUUGGGCGUAAAGGGCUCGUAGGUGGUUGAUCGCGUCGGAAGUGUAAUCUUGGGGCUUAACCCUGAGCGUGCUUUCGAUACGGGUUGACUUGAGGAAGGUAGGGGAGAAUGGAAUUCCUGGUGGAGCGGUGGAAUGCGCAGAUAUCAGGAGGAACACCAGUGGCGAAGGCGGUUCUCUGGGCCUUUCCUGACGCUGAGGAGCGAAAGCGUGGGGAGCGAACAGGCUUAGAUACCCUGGUAGUCCACGCUGUAAACGGUGGGUACUA